AGUUUGCCAUGACACUGAUGGUUCAUAUGACUGUGAUUGCAAUGAUGGAUACACACUGGAUAGCGAUGAAAGGAGUUGUACUGAUAUCAAUGAAUGUGACGAUAACAAUGGAGGUUGUGAACACAAUUGUAAGAACACAAUUGGCAGCUAUGAAUGCUCUUGCAACACUGGAUAUUUGAAAUCUGGCCAUCAUUGCUCUGAUAAGGAUGAGUGUAAUA